UGCCUGCUGAUUGUUGGUGUGAACAUUAUAGUGUGGCCUCACUUGAACUUGGUGUUGUGGUGUUCUUCUGGAGUGUGUAUCACGAUUGCAGUGGAUUUUCCCAGGCCUCGUUGACGUGGCGUGUUGGAGUCAGGAGGAUCUUAUCACCAGUUUACCUGUUGGGGGGUUUCCGGUGGCCGAAUAGCUCUACCCUUGAGUGGGAGAGUGUGGGGACAUCUUCGACAAAAGCCAGGCCCAGUUAUAUCGUGUGGCGAAAGACUACUGCCUUGUUUUUAGACUUUUUAUUGUGAAUUUCAAUAAAUUAUUGGUUUUACCUUA